GGAUUUUAACCAGCUGCUCCCAAACUCCAGCAACACUUAAACUCUACAGGUGUUAUACAUUAAAAUAUAUAUAUAUGCAUAUAUAUAUAUAUAUAUAUAUAUAUGCAGAUUUUAGUUUAGAGCUCCCCUGUAGCUAUGAAGUGGUGCAGCUGGAUGUGGUGAGCUGACCUGGGCUCGCUGGGGCCUCGCCUUGAUGGCGUUCAAAGCCGGGGCCUGUAGGCCUGGCCUUUGGGCCUGGUUUUGUAGCAGCCAUAGCGGGCUGCCCCUCUUCUAUCAUGCAGGAACGGCUUGUUUCUGGGGGAUGUGCUGGAAGUAACCCUGAAGCUUGAGGAAGCUU
rnacentral:lncRNA from 1 species